rnacentral:tRNA from 1 species
UUAUCUUUAAUAUAAUUAUUAUAUCUUACUUCCAAUAAGAAAAUCUCUUUACAGAGAAGAUAAA